rnacentral:rRNA from 1 species
GAUGAACGCUGGCGGCGUGCCUAAUACAUGCAAGUCGAGCGAACGGACGAGAAGCUUGCUUCUCUGAUGUUAGCGGCGGACGGGUGAGUAACACGUGGAUAACCUACCUAUAAGACUGGGAUAACUUCGGGAAACCGGAGCUAAUACCGGACAAUAUUUUGAACCGCAUGGUUCAAAAGUGAAAGACGGUCUUGCUGUCACUUAUAGAUGGAUCCGCGCUGCAUUAGCUAGUUGGUAAGGUAACGGCUUACCAAGGCAACGAUGCAUAGCCGACCUGAGAGUGUGAUCGGCCACUCUGGAACUGAGACACGGUCCAGACUCCUACGGGAGGCAGCAGUAGGGAAUCUUCCGCAAUGGGCGAAAGCCUGACGGAGCAACGCCGCGUGAGUGAUGAAGGUCUUCGGAUCGUAAAACUCUGUUAUUAGGGAAGAACAUAUGUGUAAGUAACUGUGCACAUCUUGACGUUACCUAAUCAGAAAGCCACGGCUAACUACGUG